AGGAAAGCAUGGCAAAGAGACAGAAUACUUUUUCAUUAUAUUCAUUAAUUUAUACUGUGAAUACUACCUUCCAUCAAGUUGCCGUGUGUGUGUGUGUGUGUGUGUGUGUGUGUGUGUGUGUAUACAGAAAGAGAGAGAUUUCUA